ensembl:misc_RNA 7SK 7SK RNA
AGAUGUGAGGGUGAUCUGGCUGUGACAUGUAUCACCCCAUUGAUUUCCAGGGUUGAUUAGGCUGAUCUGGCUGGCUAGGGGGUGUCCCCUUACUGCCUCACUGCUCCAUGUGAGUCCCUCUGGAAGCUGCAUGCUUGGUCAAAGAGGAUGGCCUUCCCUGAAUAGAGAUGGUUGAGGGUACACAAGUAGCUGCGCUCCCCUGCUAGAACCUCCAAACAAGCUCUCAAGAUUUCUGCAUCUCAAAGUUCUCUAAAACACAGUUAACAGUUUGUUAAUUCUG